rnacentral:lncRNA from 1 species
UUUAAAAAAAAAAAAAGCGAACCCAGAACAAAGACAGGACAUUGACAAGAGCUAUACUGGGAUCCCAAGCAGUUCCAAGAAUAACUUGCCCUUUCUGUACCUUCCCUUCAAGUUCCAGAAAGCUCUCAAGGUUGUUUGUUUGCCAGAAGGAUGUGCAUGUUCGUGUUUAGUUUUUCAAGUGAUAAAACGGGAAGGGGGGGGGGUUCCAAAGAAGGGCUAGCACUGGACCUUGCAAACAUUAAUAAAUAUUUGUCUAACUGAAUUGAAAUGCUUGUCUAGCCCACCCUCUGGGAGAAGCGCGGCGCCAAUGCGUGAUGUGAAUUUUGAAGCCAAGUUGACUCUGGUAUUAGAUAAACUUUCUGAUCCCAGUUCCUCCUCCCUGUGGCUUUCCACUUCGGCAAGGAAGGGACGAGUGGGGACUGUGAGGAGGGGAAGGGGGGCGGAGAAGGAGAUGGGGGUGUGUGUGUGUGGGGGGGAGUCCUAGCGCCGCGCAGGCGCUUUCCCCACCACCUCUUACCAUCACCCCCCCGCUCCCAAUCCCCUGUCGGGGCUCGGAGCCUCAGCUCCUGUGGGACGCCAAUGCACUUGUAAAGGGAGGGCUGGAGGCAGACACAAAGCCUGGGCCCUCCCCCUCCGUGUCCUCCUCCUCCUCUCUGCUCGGAAGUCCUGCCCUGGUGCUGCGCUGGUGCCAGUCCAGGGCCGAGGCUCUCCUUCUGUCCCACACACCCCCAGCCCAGACCUCUCGACCUGCAGCGAGGGCAGUGCAAGCCUUUGAAAUUUUUCGGAGCUCCCAAGCGGCAGCCUUUCAGAAGUUCUGGGGGAAGCUCAACUUACAACAGCCUCAAAAGGUCCGUAACAUUAUCAAAAGGAGGAGGGGAGGAGGUUCAGGACUUUAAGAUUUUUAAAAAUUAGUUG